CGGGGAGGGCGGGGCGUCGGUUGGACAACCGGAGUGACUGGCGGGAGGGGCUGCGGCUCCUCCCCGUGCGGCGCGGCGCGCGGCCUCCGUGUGCCUAGGCUUGAGGCGGGCGGUGACGCCUCAUUCGCGCGGAGCCGGGCCGGGACACGGUCGGCGGCAGCAUGAACAGCAUCAAGAAUGUGCCGGCGCGGGUGCUGAGCCGCAGGCCGGGCCACAGCCUAGAGGCCGAGCGCGAGCAGUUCGACAAGACGCAGGCCAUCAGUAUCAGCAAAGCCAUCAACAGCCAGGAGGCCCCAGUGAAGGAGAAGCAUGCCCGGCGUAUCAUCCUGGGCACGCAUCAUGAGAAGGGAGCCUUUACCUUCUGGUCCUAUGCCAUCGGCCUGCCGCUGUCCAGCAGCUCCAUCCUCAGCUGGAAGUUCUGUCACGUCCUUCACAAGGUCCUCCGGGACGGACACCCCAACGUCCUGCAUGACUAUCAGCGGUACCGGAGCAACAUACGUGAGAUCGGUGACUUGUGGGGCCACCUUCGUGACCAGUAUGGACACCUGGUGAAUAUCUAUACCAAACUGUUGCUGACUAAGAUCUCCUUCCACCUUAAGCAUCCCCAGUUUCCUGCAGGCCUGGAGGUAACAGAUGAGGUGUUGGAGAAGGCGGCGGGAACUGAUGUCAACAACAUUUUUCAGCUUACCGUGGAGAUGUUUGACUACAUGGACUGUGAACUGAAGCUUUCUGAGUCAGUUUUCCGGCAGCUCAACACGGCCAUCGCAGUGUCCCAGAUGUCUUCUGGCCAGUGUCGCCUAGCGCCGCUCAUCCAGGUCAUUCAGGACUGCAGCCACCUGUACCACUACACAGUGAAGCUCAUGUUUAAGCUGCACUCCUGUCUCCCGGCAGACACCCUGCAAGGCCACAGGGAUCGGUUCCACGAGCAGUUUCACAGCCUCAAAAACUUCUUCCGCCGAGCUUCAGACAUGCUGUACUUCAAGAGGCUCAUCCAGAUCCCGCGGCUGCCUGAGGGACCCCCCAAUUUCCUGCGGGCUUCAGCCCUGGCUGAGCACAUCAAGCCGGUGGUGGUGAUUCCCGAGGAGGCCCCAGAGGAAGAGGAGCCUGAGAACCUAAUUGAAAUCAGCAGUGCACCCCCUGCUGGGGAGCCAGUGGUGGUGGCUGACCUCUUUGAUCAGACCUUUGGACCCCCCAAUGGCUCCAUGAAGGAUGACAGGGACCUCCAAAUCGAGAACUUGAAGAGAGAGGUGGAGACCCUCCGUGCUGAGCUGGAGAAGAUUAAGAUGGAGGCACAGCGGUACAUCUCCCAGCUGAAGGGCCAGGUGAAUGGCCUGGAGGCAGAGCUGGAGGAGCAGCGCAAGCAGAAGCAGAAGGCCCUGGUGGACAACGAGCAGCUGCGCCACGAGCUGGCCCAGCUCAAGGCCCUGCAGCUGGAGGGCGCCCGCAACCAGGGCCUUCGAGAGGAAGCAGAGAGGAAGGCCAGUGCCACGGAGGCACGCUACAGCAAGCUGAAGGAGAAACACAGCGAACUCAUUAACACCCACGCCGAGCUGCUCAGGAAGAACGCAGACACGGCCAAGCAGCUGACAGUGACACAGCAGAGCCAGGAGGAGGUGGCACGGGUAAAGGAACAGCUGGCCUUCCAGAUGGAGCAAGCGAAGCGUGAGUCUGAGAUGAAGAUGGAAGAGCAGAGCGACCAGUUGGAGAAGCUCAAGAGGGAGCUGGCGGCCAGGGCAGGAGAGCUGGCCCGUGCGCAGGAGGCCCUGAGCCGCACAGAACAGAGUGGGUCAGAGCUGAGCUCACGGCUGGACACACUGAAUGCGGAGAAGGAAGCUCUGAGUGGAGUCGUUCGGCAGCGUGAGGCAGAGCUGCUGGCCGCUCAGAGCCUGGUGCGGGAGAAGGAGGAGGCACUUAGCCAAGAGCAGCAGCGGAGCUCCCAGGAGAAGGGCGAGCUACGGGGGCAGCUGGCAGAAAAGGAGUCUCAGGAGCAGGGGCUUCGGCAGAAGCUGCUGGAUGAGCAGUUGGCGGUGUUGCGAAGUGCAGCCGCCGAGGCAGAGGCCAUCCUACAGGAUGCAGUGAGCAAGCUGGACGACCCCCUGCACCUCCGCUGCACCAGCUCCCCAGACUACUUGGUGAGCCGGGCUCAGGCAGCCCUGGACAGCGUGAGCGGCCUGGAGCAGGGCCACACCCAGUACCUGGCUUCCUCUGAAGAUGCUUCUGCCCUGGUGGCAGCGCUGACCCGCUUCUCCCAUUUGGCUGCGGACACCAUUGUCAAUGGUGCCGCCACCUCCCACCUGGCCCCCACCGACCCCGCCGACCGCCUGAUGGACACAUGCAGGGAGUGUGGAGCCCGGGCUCUGGAGCUGGUGGGACAGCUGCAAGACCAGACAGUGCUACCGAGGGCUCAGCCCAGCCUGAUGCGGGCCCCCCUGCAGGGCAUUCUGCAGUUGGGCCAGGACUUGAAGCCUAAGAGCCUGGAUGUACGGCAAGAGGAGCUAGGGGCCAUGGUGGACAAGGAGAUGGCGGCCACCUCGGCAGCCAUUGAGGACGCUGUGCGGAGGAUCGAGGACAUGAUGAGCCAGGCCCGCCACGAGAGCUCGGGCGUGAAACUGGAGGUGAAUGAGAGGAUCCUCAACUCCUGCACAGACCUGAUGAAGGCUAUCCGGCUCCUGGUGAUGACCUCCACCAGCCUGCAGAAGGAAAUUGUGGAGAGCGGCAGGGGGGCAGCAACGCAGCAGGAAUUUUAUGCCAAGAAUUCACGGUGGACUGAAGGCCUCAUCUCAGCCUCUAAGGCAGUGGGCUGGGGAGCCACACAGCUGGUGUAUGUCCACCCAGGGAGUCAGCUGACAAGGUUGUGCUUCACAUGGGCAAAUACGAGGAACUCAUCGUCUGCUCCCAUGAGAUUGCGGCCAGCACGGCCCAGCUGGUGGCAGCCUCGAAGGUGAAAGCCAACAAGAACAGUCCCCACUUGAGCCGCCUGCAGGAAUGUUCCCGCACUGUCAACGAGAGGGCUGCCAACGUCGUGGCCUCCACCAAAUCUGGCCAGGAGCAGAUUGAGGACAGAGACACCAUGGAUUUCUCUGGCCUGUCCCUCAUCAAGUUGAAGAAGCAGGAGAUGGAGACACAGGUGCGAGUCUUGGAGCUGGAGAAGACACUAGAGGCAGAGCGUGUCCGGCUCGGGGAGCUUCGGAAACAGCACUAUGUACUGGCUGGGGGGAUGGGAACACCUAGCGAAGAAGAACCCAGCAGACCCAGCCCAGCUCCCCGAAGUGGGGCCACUAAGAAGCCACCGCUGGCCCAGAAACCCAGCAUAGCCCCCAGGACAGACAACCAGCUCGACAAAAAGGAUGGUGUCUACCCAGCUCAACUUGUGAACUACUAGGCCCCUAAGGUGUUCAGCAGGAUGGUUGGUGGUUGUGCCUGGGCUUCACGUGGCUGUCUGGCAGUGGUCAAGGGGCCUCUGAGAAGCCUCCAACUCCUGUCCAAGGGGCCUAGUCUGUGGGACAGUUCAUCUGGAUGUGAAUCUAUUUAUCUUAAGUAGGAACUGCCUCGAGCAGCUGGGACCCAGCAGGCCUGAGCCACAAAUCUGCAGCGGACAUCAGAGAUAGUCUGAAUGCUGCGAGGUAUUUCUUUCUUCGUAAGUUUAGUCAGCACACUGGGAAAAGGUCACAUAAGCCAGGAGCCUCCUUGUCUCUGGACUUAAAAGUCUGAGGCCUUAAGUGAACAACAGAAAGAGGGUCCCUGCUGGCUACCAGGGAUAAGGGGAUGACCUGUGACCCUUGAGCCAGGGAGAGCAGGUAAGCUGGGUAGUGUCAUCACCUGGGGGCCUGGUGCUAGGGCAUCCAUGCUGGGAGCCCCAGGAGACCAGGCUUUGUGUGGGAGCCUGGCAUCAUCGUGGCUGGGGCAGCCCCUGCUCAGGUGCUGCCUCUGCCCGUGACCUCGAAGCCACCCUCCCCCGUACAGUUUUCCAUUCUCCUGGCUACUAGUGUGGCUGUUCAUUGCCUACCUUGAUGAGUAGAUUUCAGCCCUCCUAAAGCUGGGGCCUUUCAGCCAGACAAAAGCUAUUAAAAAAAAAAGAGCAGAUGCCAUAGCCCACAUUUCUGGAGGCUCAAGAGUUCUUGCUGGAGCAGCCCAGACAUGGAGGGCUGGCCUUGCCUGCCCCUGACAGUUUGAAUAAAUUUGUGUGUCUUGAGCCUGAGGAGGAGUGGCUGGGGGUAGAAGAUAUCCAGGCCACCAAUAAAGCCAGCAGCUGGUCUGGGACAAGUGCCCAGCCUCCCUCCAGCUGCAUGCCCUGCACCCUGGGAAGGCUACCAACCAUGGACCAAGGUCCGGGGCUUUGGGAGGGAGCCGGCUCCUUUGCUCUGUCUAGUGUUCCCUGUGUUGAGUUCCAUUGGCAAUAAAACCCUGACUGUUGUUA